AAAACUCCUGUUCUCAUACAAUCACCGAAGUUAAGCAACAUCAAGUCUGGUCACUACCUAGAUGGGUGACUGCUUGGGAAUGCUAGGUGUUGUAAG